CUGGCUCAGGACGAACGCUGGCGGCGUGCCUAAUACAUGCAAGUCGAGCGGACAGAUGGGAGCUUGCUCCCUGAUGUUAGCGGCGGACGGGUGAGUAACACGUGGGUAACCUGCCUGUAAGACUGGGAUAACUCCGGGAAACCGGGGCUAAUACCGGAUGGUUGUUUGAACCGCAUGGUUCAAACAU
rnacentral:rRNA from 1 species